CUGGCUCAGGACGAACGCUGGCGGCGUGCCUAACACAUGCAAGUCGAGCGGAGAUUACAGCAAUGUAAUCUUAGCGGCGGACGGGUGAGUAACGCGUGGGCAACCUGCCUUGGACAGGGGGAUAACACAGGGAAACUUGUGCUAAUACCGCAUAAUAUGUAGGAAGGACAUCCUUUCUACAUCAAAGGAGAAAUCCGGUCUAAGAUGGGCCCGCGUCCGAUUAGCUAGUUGGUAGUGUAAUGGACUACCAAGGCGACGAUCGGUAGCCGAACUGAGAGGUUGAUCGGCCACAUUGGGACUGAGACACGGCCCAGACUCCUACGGGAGGCAGCAGGUGGGAAUAUUGCGCAAGUACGGGGGAAACCUGACGCAGCAACGCCGCGUGAAGGAUGUAAGGUUUCGGAUACGUAAACUUCUUUGAGUUGGGGACGAAUAAAUGACGGUACCAAAAACAAGCCACGGCUAACUACGUGCCAGCCGCCGC
rnacentral:rRNA from 1 species